CAGUAGCCACGGGAAUACGAAGGGUGCAAGCGUUACUCGGAAUUACUGGGCGUAAAGCGUGCGUAGGCGGCUUCUUAAGUCGGAUGUGAAAUCCCUGAGCUUAACUUAGGAAUUGCAUUCGAUACUGGGAAGCUAGAGUAUGGGAGAGGAUGGUAGAAUUCCAGGUGUAGCGGUGAAAUGCGUAGAGAUCUGGAGGAAUACCGAUGGCGAAGGCAGCCAUCUGGCCUAAUACUGACGCUGAGGUACGAAAGCAUGGGGAGCAAACAGGAUUAGAUACCCCGGUAGUCCCUGUCUCUUAUAA
rnacentral:rRNA from 1 species